rnacentral:lncRNA from 1 species
CUGCACGCGGCCACCUAACGUAGCUACACACCUGUGACACCCCCACAUCUGCUGCUGCGUCCACACACGGCGAGUAACAACAGAAAUGGCAGUUACAGAUCUUAUCAGGAGCCCAUCUUUUCUAAUCAAAGUUGUUGAACUGGUCUUAUCCAUUAUCAUAGCUGGUCUCACAAGUGGUCAGGCAGUUGCUGCAUAUCCUGACAUUUUCGUGCGUUUAGCGGUUGUCGAUGGGACCAUAGUAUGUUACAUCAUACUAGGUGCUCUAAUCAUCAUCGGCUAUGUACUCGAAUGUCCUAUACACACCAAACUGAUCCUAAUUUCUUCAGCGGUUGCAUGUGUAUUAUUUGUGACAACUGGAGGACUUAUUCUGGAUGCGUACACCCGAUCUUAUUUCAAAGUUACUCAAGUAAUCGUUGGAGGAAUACUAGCCCUUGUUAAUGGACUGGUGUACGCUGCUGAUGCAUUUCUGUCGUGGAAGUUUAGCUAGAUACCCUUCACGCAGUGUUAAUACGUGACAUUACAUGUUCACAGUGUAUAUACUGAAACUAUCUACUGUUCUGUCAACGGAGCAGUUAGUGGGAGUUGCUUGAAAUAACAUCAAAUGAACUAGACUGAAAGCACUGUCAGCUUAAUUUACUGUCUCUGUAGCUAAGACAGAUAUAUGUUUUCAUACAGUUAAAUUUGCGUACACAAUGUGUUGAAUAAGUUAUUAAAAAGUAGUAUUAAGAUUUAUUAUUAAAUAUUGACAUCCAAUAACAUUCACUGUGGUUUCUUCUCUUGCUCUCUCAGAUUAAUUGCAUUGUUAGUGAAGCUUUCUUUACUGAGAAGACUUAAUCUCCUAGAUUUCUUUACAUACUUCUCCUAGCGAUUGCAAUUAGAUUAAUAAUCAUAAUCAGUUUGUAACUGUUGCAUAAUUUCUAUUUACUGACUCUUUUGUACAUUUUUGUCUAGUAAAACUAUGAAAUUGCGAUAAUUUAAAUGUACAGAUAAUUAUCUGAUGAGAUUGUAAUGUUAUAUUCACAGAGAUAAUAAUAUGACAUGUAUAUCACCUCUUAUAGAAUUAUGAGUAUCCAUACAUAGUUUCUAUAAGAAGAUUUCUUGGCCACACAACUAUUUUCCGCUAAUUAAUAAAGAUUUUCUGUAUGUUUCACUUUAAAACACUUUAUAGGUUGUAUAGCGGACUAAAAAGUAGAACUUUUGAACAAAGAGUCACAAUUUUCUCUAUGCUCCCCUGUACUUAAUUCCUAGAAACUGUUGUAACUCAGAAUCUCUUAUGAAAAAGAUUGACCAUUUCUGACAUAGGACUUUGAAGAAGUAAAAAUUUUCUUUUCUCGAGGUGAUCAAAUAAUUGAGGAAGUCGAAGGUCCAGGAGUGAUGGUCUGGGGUGACAUUUCGUUUCAUAGCAGGAAUGCGCUGGUGCAGCGAGUGCCAGAUGGCAUCACGGCAAAACGCGCCUGCUGAAAUCUCAGUAAGGCAACAACUGACAGCCUGCCGUUGCUGGUUCAAUGCAGCUAGUGGCGACGUGUUAAUUCACGGCGAUUUUCCAUGACAAAAUAGCGGCGUCCCUCCCUUGGGACUGAAAAACGGGGGACACCCCACUUGACUGACACCAGUUUUGUUCAGGUCCCGAGGUGGACGAUGAAGUGGGGACCCAAUAAGGGUAUAAUAACAGUAGAUUCGAGAGUUAAAAAUGGGAAAAUAUAUUUCCGAUACUGCAGGCAGCACACCCUAUGGAGGGCAUGCUAAUCUGCCAACUGUAUGGAGAACCAUCACAGGUCGGUUGAGGUUGGCUGAGGUCCAAAAGAAGGCAAGAAGCAGGAGGGACGUAUCUUGCCAGUCUGAAAGCCAAGUCCAGAAAGAGCGAGCGACUUCCGCUUGUACCGAGCGAGGUGGCGCAGUGGUUAGACACUGGACUCGCAUUCGGGAGGACUACGGUUCAAUCCCGCGUCCGGCCAUCCUGAUUUAGG